rnacentral:rRNA from 1 species
AAUGAACGCUGGCGGCAUGCCUAAUACAUGCAAGUCGAGCGAACGGACGAGACUUUCGCUUCUCUGCUGUUACCGACGGGCGAGUAAUUCCCACGUAGCUAACUUACAUAUGAGAAUAGGAUACCUUCACGGACCCUGAGCUCGUAUCGGACCUUAUUUUGAACCGCAUGGUUCAUAGGUGCAAGCGGUUCUUGCUGUGACUUAUAGAUAUAACCGAGUUGCAUUAGUUAGUUGGUACGGUAACGGCUUACCAAGGCAACGAUGCAUAGCCGAUCUGAGAGGAUGAUCAGCCACACUGGAACUGAGACACGGUCCAGACUCCUACGGGAGGCAGCAGUGGGGAAUAUUGGACAAUGGGCGAAAGCCUGACGGAGCAACGCCGCGUGAGUGAUGAAGGUCUUCGGAUCGUAAAGCACUUUUAUUUGGGAAGAACAUAAGUGAGUGUAUCUGUUCAUAUCUUGACGUUACCUAAACAGUAAGCCACGGCUAACUUCGUG